UACGGAGGAUGCGAGCGUUAUCCGGAUUUAUUGGGUUUAAAGGGUGCGUAGGCGGGCUUUUAAGUCAGCGGUAAAAAUUCGGGGCUCAACCCCGUCCGGCCGUUGAAACUGGGGGUCUUGAGUGGGCGAGGAGAAGGCGGAAUGCGUGGUGUAGCGGUGAAAUGCAUAGAUAUCGCGCAGAACCCCGAUUGCGAAGGCAGCCUUCCGGCGCCCUACUGACGCUGAGGCACGAAAGUGCGGGGAUCGAACAGG
rnacentral:rRNA from 1 species